rnacentral:ncRNA from 1 species
AUAAAGACUAUGAAAGGGAGAGUAGUUAUUGUGGGAUUUCAAGAGAGCUAGCGGUUGGUGUGAGCUAGUAAUCCUGCUUUAAUGAAAAUCACCCUGGAGUUGACCUUCGAAAUUGAGUAGGGGGUUCCGGUAAUCCGUUAUUUAAAUGAGAGACCAUUUGUAUGGUAAAUUGGGUGGUAACGCGGAGUAACUUCGUCCCAUUG